UGUCCCUGCUGCCGCCGCCGCGCUCAUCUCCCACCUCGGGAUCCAUCCCUGUCCAAUCAGUGUCUGCGUCCUGAUCCAAAUCCCCUCGCCCUCCACCUCGCACCCGAGGGCCUCCCCGACCACCUCGCCGGGGAUGCGACCCCCUCUGCUUCCUCUUGUGACUGCAACAGCACCCGAGCUCCCUGCCUCCUCGCGCCUUUCUCACCUGCCCGAGAUCCACUCCUCCCACGCGCUCGGCCUCCACCAUCUUCCUCGCCGGGACUCGCUCCAGCUUCCUCUGCCGCAUCAAGAACGAUGACCACAACUUCGUGCCCGGCCGGACCCAGUCGUCGUCGUCACCUAAGAAGGUCGCCGACGCGUCCCUCCCUCUCCUCCUUGCACUCUUCCUUCCUCGGAUCCGUUUGCCUCACUGACCGCUGCAACCUGCAGGAGCAGGAGCGCGCCGACUAGGUCGCCCGCGUCCUCUGCAUCGCGGUCUCUCCUGCUUCGGCCUCCAGCCUUUGCCGUCGAGCGCCGCCUCCGCCUGGAUCCGUCAAGUCCCUUCGCCUCGCAAAGUUCCGCUCGUCCGAGCCCUUCCCCGCUGCCUACAAACCGCGCCGUCGGGCACCGUUCCCUCGCCGGACCUCCCCUGCUUCGCCAAUCCGUCGCCUUCCUUCGCGCCGUCCCUAUCGCCCGAGUCGCCGUGCCAAGUUCCGCCACCGCCGCUGCAAGUCCCGCUGCCGCCGAGCCUCUGCAUCGAGCCGCUGCAUCCCUCUGCUUCGUCAGAACACGAGCGCCCUGCCUCCUCUGUUCACUGGCGUCUCGACCUCCUCGAGCGACGCCCGAAACCGCGUUGACCCUUCCGAUCGAGCCCAGCAGCCGGCCCAGCUGCGCGCCUAGCAGCCCGAGCCGUCUCAGCCAGCCCACGGCCACUGCUUCCCAACUAGGCAAGGCCCAUGUUCCGGUUACGUUGCGAUUGUGAGGAUUCGUUCGACUACGCCCGUUCGUCUAUUUCAUGGAUUCGGUCUUCUUCCUAGCGGGAUUUCAGGCAAGAUGACCGUCACCUUGGAUCUCACUACUAUCUUUGGUAUGCUAGUUGUCUCGAUGAUAUCGCUAUGUCGCGCUACCUACCACUUGUUUAUCAAGCCUCCCAAAUUGCCAUGAUAGCCUCUAACCUUUUCCAUCAUCCUAGCAAACCGUUGUUUGGCUAUGUUACCGCUUUGCUCAGCCCCUCUUAUAGCGUUGCUAGUUGCAGGUGGAGUUGCAGGUUGUUCCAUGUUGGGACAUGGAUAUCACGGAUAUCAUGGGAUAUCACAAUAUCUCUUAUCUAAUUAAUGCAUAUAUAUUUAAACCAAUAAGGACCCUAGCCAACUCGGCCUCCGAGCACUCCCUCGACGCCAUGCAUUCCCAACCUUCGAUCCAGGUCAAUCCAAUCUUUGGCUUUGUCUGAAACGUUGGAUGUUCGCUGCUCGUUUCACUGGUCGUUUUCACCGCGCGGUAAGUUCGGGUGCCCAAUGACGGGUGGGCUCUUGGAGCAUUCAUCUUUUUUUCGAGAGUAUGCAAAUCACAUACCUUAGCUUUAUAAAAGAGAGAAGAAUUUUUACAAGGUUUGUUAGCCAGGAUACUACAGACUAGUAGCAGGCAACGGAAUUCCAAAUGAACCCACUCCUACUCCUCUACUAUACUCUAUAUGCUAAAAUCAGCUGCUCCUCUCCAUCCGACUAGCGUCCAUAGCCGCAUUUCCUCUUCGAUGAUUGCUACGAGAUCCACGGUGGUACAAAUUGAUGUUCGAUUGCCAAACACCCGAGCGGUCCUUUGCUUCCACAGAUUCCAGCAAAUUAGCAUGACCAUUGCGUCGAAACCUUUCCUGAGUUGUUUGGUCACCUGUUUUCUAGCAGCAAGCCACCAAGGUUGGAUGUGGUCAGUUGCUGUAGGGAUGAGCCCCAGGUUGAUUCUCCUCUUGCUGAAAACUAGAUACCAAACCUGCCGAAAGUAAACACAGUUUAGGAGGAUGUGAUCUACAUUGUCUUUCUCUUGGUCAUACAAGAAGCAUGCCAAGGAAAUGUCCUGGAGCCCAUGUCUGCAUCUUCUGUCAGACGUCCAAAUCCUAUGUUGCAUAGCCAGCCACAUGAACAGUUUGCAAGCCAUCGGGGCCCAGCAACUCCAGAGUCCUAUGGAGCAUUCAUCUUGGUUGUCAGCCUUUUCGAGAUGCAUGUGCGCCCUCUGCCUGCGCGCCGCGUGCGCGUCGUGCGCUGCGCCAAAGCGCACAGCCGCACGAACCCUAGCCCCCAACCCGCAGCCGCCACAAUCUUCCCUCCUUACUUCCUCGUCAACACAGGCGCCGCACCCCUCCCUUCUCCCCCUUCCCGCAGCCCCAGGAGCUCCGCCGUACCAUUCGACGAGAUCCACCGCCUCCCGAGGUCCAUAUCCACCCCAGGUCGCGAGGAAGUCGCGGGAGGAGGAGAACCCUCGUCGCAAGGAAGAUGCAGGAGGAGGAGGUCAGCCGGGCGUCGCCGGCCGGAGAAGGAGGAGAGGCGGGGAUGCCAGCCAAGGAGGCGGAUCGCCUCGCCUCUGCUGCACUGUGAGCGCUGCCGCUGCCUCUGCAUCCACCUUGCCCCGCCGUCAUGGGAUGAGGCUCACCAUGGAAGAGCAGCCGUAGGUGCCAUAACAUCUAAAGAGCUGCAGUCGGGUGGAGGUGAGGAUGCGUAGCUCGAUUGACAAGAGCAGGGCAGUGGAUUGGAUUGAGGGCGCCUACAUGGCCACGCCGCUGCUGCCGUCUAGAGUCGCCUUGGGCCGCCGCCUCGAGUGGCCUCCAUCGCCGCCCCGAGUCAAGUCCACCACUGCCGCCAGGAAUCCCGUCCCCGGCAAGCGACCUGCUGAUGUUGCUGCUGUGCUGGCCAGGGAGUGAGUCCACUGACAUACGGACACAAGAGAUAUUCAGUUAUGAGGAUUAUAGGAUAUUAAUGAUAGUUCAGUCAUUGAGGAUUCGAAAAGAGGCAUCAAUGCUCCAGUAGAGGUGGUAUUGAAGUUGUGGCUGUCAAUAGUCCUUAUAUUGAUGCUAACUACAUGGCCUAUAUGUUCAAGUAUGACUCCACUGAUGGCCCCUUUAAAGGAUCCAUUAAGGUCGUGGAUGAUUCAAUACUGGAGAUUAAUGCGAAAAAAAUCACAACCACAAGCAAAAGGUAAAUAUGCCAGGGUUAGCUGAUUAUUUUCCAUAUUAGUGCGGUUGAUAUAGAUGUUGUGGUUUCUAAAUAUGCAUGACAUGUUGUCCUGAAAUAAGGACAUGUGAAGCAAUGAAGUCGCCAAAGUAACAUUAUUACUUAAUAAUUGAUAUAUAGUUUAGAGCCCCAUGUUUUUUGCACAUUCAUACGGACAUAUAAUAGCUUACAAGUGCACGCUUGUUGUACAUCCCGAGUACUGGAUGUUCCUUCUCUUAUUUUGAUUCUGAUGUUCAUAUGUUGAUUUUCUGCGAUGGAGGGAAAGGAGAAGUCUGAAUGUGCCAACAAGUAGCGACCAGUGAGCUAUUGUCUAUGAUUGGCUAUGGGAGGAGUUGUCUUGUGCUGCAUGGGCAUCUUGCAGAUCGAUUUCCUUGGUUUGAUGUAUCUCGGAUUCUGAUUAGUCUUUGAUUUCCCACAUUUGUUUGGAUGUUUUCUUUGCACCAAGCACCAUGCUUUUUGAUCACUGGUCAACUUGCACAGUACUAUCUAAGCAUAGUUGUUGGUUCUGAGCUUUUGCAGCACAUAACAAAUUCUAGCUUUCAAGGAAUUAUGAUAUUGGCCAUUUCCACUGAACAUGAAGAGGGCGCAUGUACGGACAUGUAGAAACUGGAGUAAAUUAACAUAAUCCCGUAGAAUGUAGUCUGGGAAUAGUACGCCAACUCAGUGAGGCAAGUACUGGCCUGUUUUGCCAUCCCUGUGAUAAAUGAAAGUUAGUUUAGGUAAUCUUGGUUAUAAAAUCAUUUUCUUAAAGUUUUAACUUAUAACUGGACAGAAAUUGUUAUUGCACCUGAAUAUUUGAUUAUGAAUCAGUAAGAGGAAAUGGGGCGUUGUUAGGCGGGACCUUGCCACUGUUGCCUUGGGUUUUGGCUUCGAAGCACCACCAUGUAUGGCUAGCCUUCCAUGGCUACAUCGAGGGUCCCAAUCUGCAGGUGAGCUCUUCUUUUCAUCUGCAGGUUAUGACUAUAGUUUGUGAUUCAUGGCUACUAUAGUCCUUCCAUGGCUAAAUCUCCACCUCAAUGAGAUUGUAAUUGUGCCAGAAACAGACUAGGCUAAAUCUCCUCCUCAAUGAGAUUUAGUUUGUGCAUUAACGACUAUAGGUUUCUUAUUGUUUUGGAGUGGUCUGCUUUCAUUUUCUCCAGUUCAGUCAUGUAUUUCUUUGCACCCAUGUUCGCUUCAGUAUUCCCUUCCGAUUCUCACACUUUGGUUGCGGCUUCUUUGUUUAUGUUGGAAGUAUUAGACAGAUAAUUUGUUCAUUUAAGUUGUCUCCUCUUUGUCCUCUUGUGUCACAUUAAAUCAUGGUAUAAUAGAUAAUUCAGUUAACUGAUUGUUUGCCAUAUUAGUGCAGUUGAUAUAGAUGUCAUGGUUUCUAAAUAUGCACGACAUGUUGUCCUGAGAUAAGGACAGUGAAGCAAUGAAGUGGCCAAAGUAACAUUAUUACUUAAUAAUUGAUUCAUAGUUUAGAGCCCCAUGUAUUUCGCACAUUCAUACAGAUAUAUAAUAUCUUACAAGUGUAUGUUGUUGUACAUCUUGAGUACUACAUGUUCCUUCUCUUAUUUUGAUUCUGAUGUUCAUAUACUGGUUCUUACUGAAUUCUGGCGUUGAUUCCAAUUUUUUGCGGAACUCCAGGACCCCGUGCAGUGUGCAUUGGACAGUGUUGUGGAGGGUCCAAUUUCCUCAUGAUUUAAGAAGCUCGGUGUAGUACCAAACAUAAUUUGAGAACACUGGCUUGUUUUGUAGUCCAUUCCCAGCACAUGUGUUCGGAAGACUGGACACUUCUUGUACUUACUCGAAAUUUUCUUUUCAUAAAAAGUUCCUUGGAAGGGAUUGCAAAGUUUAACGAGCAUGUCCCUUUUACAUCUAUUUACAGUGUGUUUUCUUUUGGUUUCACCACAUUUUUAGGUUCACAUUUUUUACAGAUUGCGUAUAUUAUAGGAGGCAUUGAUGAUGAAACAUGAAUGCCCGUUGUUCUUGUCCGCUCCUGAUCUCAGUAGACCUGUGUGAUGUGCUCUUGAUCCUUUCUCUCUUUUUUAUUAAAUGAAUCUCUGACUGAGGAGGACAUGUUCUUUAAUUAGAUUGCAAUCAUGAAACUUCUUUUGGGUUUUCUUAUUGUACAAUACAAAGCUUCCAAAUUGUUUGAUCCUGGAAAUAAGUUAGCAAAUUUCUGUGUGCAGUGAGCUGGGAGCCGGGGUCAUCUGGUACUGUCCUAUCACUCAUUUAACUAUCUUAAUUUGUUCACAAAACUCCUUCUGUAGCUAAGAUUUCUUUGUACAACACGUACUAAUUAUUGGUCUUAUUCUUAAAUCUUAUUUCACGUUAUUCAGCUGCAGGCUGGGUUAAGAUUGUUUUUGUGCCAGAAACAGACUAGGCAAUGCUCUAACCUUGGCAGCAAAAAUUGUCUAAAUUCCGUAAAUAAGGUCGUGGAAUAUCUUUGAAUACGUUCAUUUAAAUAUCUUGAGUUGACCUGUAUGGGUUGCUUCUGUGCACACUCUCUUUGAUAUGAAUUUCUAGGAGAGAAAUUCUUUCAUGGUAAUGAUGUAUUAUUGAUAUUUACUCUGUUUCUUAGGCCUAUAGGUUUCUUUUUGUGGGAUGCAAUUACGGCACCACAUGAAUAUGAUCCUUGAGUUGCAUAUUAUUGCCCUUUUGGACAUAGGCAUGUGCCAUGUAGUAUAACAUUUAUAAAGAAUGUCUUGGAAAUUGUAAGUAGAUGAUUACGGUUACCCUGUAACUUUAGGAGUAAGAUAUAUAUGGUGAUUGAAUCUAGAGAUGCUUGCUAAUCUAUAACAUUAAGAUCCAGUCACGUGCAAUAUGUUUUAUUCACAGAAACAUGGAAUCAAUCUGGCUGAAAGUAAUCAUCUUAUGGCGUGGCAUGAAGAGAUGUGUGCAGAUCUGAGAAAGAAGAGGAAUAAUCCAGCAGAAGAAUUUGGUGAAUAAGAACAAGUUGGCAUUUCUCUCUUGUGAACACAGUCAUGCCUGCCUUUUGAUUUUAUUGUUUGUACUAAUGCAAACAAGAAUUCUCUAUAGUUCUUGAUGCAACACCGCUAAUUACUCAAUCUGCAAUACAUGAUUAUUUCUGGGAGAAGUUUAGUGCAUGAAUUAGCAUUCUGUAAAGUCCGUCUAAGCUCAUUUCUCUAGGCCAGGAUAGAUUUCUCAAUGUCAUUUUUGGGAUUGUUUUAACACUGAACAACAUUGCCAGGUCAACCGUUUCUCAUGUCUUUGUCAUAUCUGUAGGUAUUGUGGUGUCUCAAUUUUGUCACCAGCCUCUUUCACCGACCUGUAAACUAUCUGUCUCGAGGUCUCCCUAACUGUAUUUUGGGUUUAGAAAAAUAAAUAACUAUUUUUGGACUUAUUUUUGCAUCAGCUACUUUGUAGGUAUUAUGUGCGUUGUUAGGGAUCUGAUAUCAUGUAGUUCCAGGGAUUUCAGAUGGUCUGGUCAGUCCAUUGUUCUUGCCAUGUGAUACUUUCUCUCAUUACUGUGAUCGUCAGUGCUCUUGACAUCGGUUACUUUUUCUUAUUACUGUGAUCGUCAGUGCUCUUGACAUCGGUUCUUCUUUAUGGUUGCCUUCCCAGUGCACUUUUAUUACUUCUAACAUAUUAAUUUUAAUAUGCUUGAUUGACCAUAUUAUAUAUUUCACUUCACCGGGUGGUUGGUGGAAGUGUUGGUUAAAAUAUUUUGGCUAAAACAUUGUCUCUAAUUAUCAAGUUUAUACAGUUGAAUCUUCUUGAUUGACUAUUUUGUAGUCUGCUCUUAGUUGUACAAUAUUAAUUCUUAAAACUGGAUAAAUUUAAUGAGUUGUUUCACUGUUUUCAAAUAGGUAGCUUCAGCCCUCACUGUGUCCUGAAGCUUAUUCUUACUGCCUUUUCAAAUAAGUUUUUUUCCUUGGCACUACUGCCGCUGUGUACAGAUGGUUACUGAAAGAAGGAUUCAAGCAGCAUACCUUCACUUGACAGAUGCUUUAACCGCAAGAACUGUUGUUAUUUUCUUUUCCUUUCCUGCAAUGAUGGUAGUUCUCCUUUGAUUCUAGAAACCACAAAGGAGUGAAGGGUAGAGAUAUCCAUUGUCGUUGAAUUGGUGGGAUUGUCGCCAAGUUAGUGUUGCAGAUUGUUUCUAUUUUAGAGCAAGAAGCCAAAUCAUGUUGUUCAUUUUAAAUCUUGAAAAACUUGUUUACUGUCACUUCUAUAUCUAUUAUAAACUUUCGUUCCUGGUGUGGUA